AACGAACGCUGGCGGCAGGCCUAACACAUGCAAGUCGAGGGGGAAGCCAUCUUCGGGUGGUGGAGACCGGCGCACGGGUGAGUAACGCGUGGGCACCUGCCCUGGGGUGGGGGAUAACCGCUGGAAACGGCGGCUAAUACCGCAUACGCCUUUAGAGGGAAAGAUUUAUCGCCCUGGGAGGGGCCCGCGUUGGAUUAGCUUGUUGGUGGGUAACGGCCCACCAAGGCGACGAUCCAUAGCUGGUCUGAGAGGAUGAUCAGCCACACUGGGACUGAGACACGGCCCAGACUCCUACGGGAGGCAGCAGUGGGAAUAUUGGACAAUGGGGGCAACCCUGAUCCAGCCAUGCCGCGUGCGUGAAGAAGGCCUUAGGGUUGUAAAGCGCUUUCACCGGUGACGAUGAUGACGGUAGCCGGAGAAGAAGCCCCGGCUAACUCCGUG
rnacentral:rRNA from 1 species